UUGCAGAAGCUUCUCCCUGGAACACACCAUAGAUUUCAUGAUGGCCGUCAAGGACACCUUCCGGAAGGCCAAAGGAAUGCGUGUGCGUGCUGCUGGGAAGUGGAUGAUCACCUUUCUGCAGAUGCAUGGAAAGGACAUCUGUCGGGAUCUUGACCUUUCACCGAUCGUCUACAUCCUGCGCAGCUGCAUGUCGUCCCUGCAGCACAGCACGAACAUGCCAUUCCUGUGCCAGGCGGCGGCCAUCCUCACCCGCUGUCACGCAGACGUCACAAUUGACAGCUUCUUCCACAGGCGUUGAGCCCACAGACAGCGAGACAUGGAAGAGAAUAAG
ensembl:lncRNA